ensembl:snRNA U6 U6 spliceosomal RNA
GGGCUCGUUUCGGCACUACAUAUACUAAAAUUGGAACGAUACAGAGAUGAGCAUGGCCCCUGCACAAGGAUGACAUGCAAAAUUGUGAAGUGUUCCAUAUUUUU